GGGGAAUCUUGCCCAAUGGGCGCAAGCCUGACGCAGCGACGCCGCGUGGGGGAAGAAGGCCUUCGGGUUGUAAACCCCUUUCAGGAGGGACGAAGCCACUCGGGCGAAUAGCCCCAAGGGUGACGGUACCUCCAGAAGAAGCCCCGGCUAACUACGUGCCAGCAGCCGCGGUAAUACGGAGGGGGCAAGCGUUGUCCGGAUUUAUUGGGCGUAAAGAGCGUGUAGGCGGCCAGACAGGUCCGUUGUGAAAACUCGAGGCUCAACCUCGGGACGGCGAUGGAAACCGUCUGGCUAGAGUCCGGAAGAGGAGUGUGGAAUUCCUGGUGUAGCGGUGAAAUGCGCAGAUAUCAGGAAGAACACCUAUGGCGAAGGCAGCACUCUGGGACGGUACUGACGCUGAGACGCGAAAGCGUGGGGAGCGAAC
rnacentral:rRNA from 1 species